rnacentral:rRNA from 1 species
UCGGAGUCCGAUUUAGCCAUGCUAGUUGCACGAGUUUAGACUCGUAGCAUAUAGCUCAGUAACACGUGGCCAAACUACCCUACAGACCGCGAUAACCUCGGGAAACUGAGGCCAAUAGCGGAUAUAACUCUCAUGCUGGAGUGCAGAGAGUUAGAAACGUUCCGGCGCUGUAGGAUGUGGCUGCGGCCGAUUAGGUAGAUGGUGGGGUAACGGCCCACCAUGCCGAUAAUCGGUACAGGUUGUGAGAGCAAGAGCCUGGAGACGGUAUCUGAGACAAGAUACCGGGCCCUACGGGGCGCAGCAGGCGCGAAACCUUUACACUGCACGACAGUGCGAUAGGGGGACUCCGAGUGUGAGGGCAUAUAGCCCUCGCUUUUCUGUACCGUAAGGUGGUACAGGAACAAGGACUGGGCAAGACCGGUGCCAGCCGCCGCGGUAAUACCGGCAGUCCAAGUGAUGGCCGAUAUUAUUGGGCCUAAAGCGUCCGUAGCUUGCUGUGUAAGUCCAUUGGGAAAUCGACCAGCUCAACUGGUCGGCGUCCGGUGGAAACUACACAGCUUGGGGCCGAGAGACUCAACGGGUACGUCCGGGGUAGGAGUGAAAUCCUGUAAUCCUGGACGGACCACCAAUGGGGAAACCACGUUGAGAGACCGGACCCGACAGUGAGGGACGAAAGCCAGGGUCUCGAACCGGAUUAGAUACCCGGGUAGUCCUGGCUGUAAACAAUGCUCGCUAGGUAUGUCACGCGCCAUGAGCACGUGAUGUGCCGUAGUGAAGACGAUAAGCGAGCCGCCUGGGAAGUACGUCCGCAAGGAUGAAACUUAAAGAAUUUGGCGGGGGAGCACCACAACCGGA